UACGUAGGGUGCAAGCGUUGUCCGGAAUUAUUGGGCGUAAAGAGCUCGUAGGCGGUCUGUCGCGUCUGGUGUGAAAACUCAAGGCUUAACCUUGGGCCUGCAUCGGGUACGGGCAGACUAGAGUGCGGUAGGGGAGACUGGAAUUCCUGGUGUAGCGGUGAAAUGCGCAGAUAUCAGGAGGAACACCGGUGGCGAAGGCAGGUCUCUGGGCCACUACUGACGCUGAGAAGCGAAAGCGUGGGGAGCGAACAGG
rnacentral:rRNA from 1 species